GGACCUGUAGCUCAACUGGACAGAGCGUCUGACUACGGAUCAGAAGGUUGGGGGUUCGACUCCUCCCAGGUUCA
rnacentral:tRNA from 1 species